ACUCCUACGGGAGGCAGCAGUGGGGAAUAUUGCACAAUGGGGAAACCGUAGCAUGCAGCCAUGCCGCGUGUGUGAAGAAGGCCUUCGGGUUGUAAAGCACUUUCAGUAGGGAGGAAGGUAGUGUAGUUAAUAGCUGCAUUAUUUGACGUUAGCGACAGAAGAAGCACCGGCUAACUCCGUGCCAGCAGCCGCGGUAAUACGGAGGGUGCGAGCGUUAAUCGGAAUUACUGGGCGUAAAGCGCAUGCAGGCGGCCUGUUAAGUCAGAUGUGAAAGCCC
rnacentral:rRNA from 1 species